rnacentral:rRNA from 1 species
AAGGCUUGACCUCAAAUCAGGUAGGACUCCCCGCUUGAACUUAAAGCAUAUCAAUAAGC